rnacentral:piRNA from 1 species
UAUGUUAACAUUGAACGCCUGAUCAUC